rnacentral:rRNA from 1 species
AGUGCACGCUGGCGGUAGGCCUAACACAUGCAAGUCGAACGGCAGCACAGUAAGAGCUUGCUCUUACGGGUGGCGAGUGGCGGACGGGUGAGGAAUACAUCGGAAUCUACUUUUUCGUGGGGGAUAACGUAGGGAAACUUACGCUAAUACCGCAUACGACCUACGGGUGAAAGCAGGGGAUCUUCGGACCUUGCGCGAUUGAAUGAGCCGAUGUCGGAUUAGCUAGUUGGCGGGGUAAAGGCCCACCAAGGCGACGAUCCGUAGCUGGUCUGAGAGGAUGAUCAGCCACACGGGAACUGAGACACGGUACAGACUCCUACGGGAGGCACAGUUGGGGAAUGUUGAAAAAGGGGCGCAAGCCUGAUCUAGCCAUUCGGGGAGGGUGAAGAAGCCCUGCGGGUGGUAAAGCCCUUUUGUUUGGAAAAAAAACCAGCGGGUUAAUACCCGCCUGUCCGGAGGUAACCCAAAGAUAAGGACCGGCCGAAUUCCUG